CAAUGACGGCAGCGACAGGGGGUGAAUUAGUUCUGCAGGUCAACCCCUUUUCUCCUCCUUUCCACUCCUCUUGUCUGGUGCUUAUGUGGGACUCCAGUAGUUUUUUGGACGUGUUGGCUGGUCGGAUGCGGCAUUUUUUUUGGAUGCAUUAGCUAUUCAAGCCUGGAUAUGGUCUGUUUCCUUUGGUGAAAUUAGGGGAUCUGCUUGGGUUGUAGUUGGAUUCUGUUGGUUUAAGAUAUUUCACUGGUCUGACUAUUGGUUUGGGUUAGUCCCAGAUUUAGGUGUUUCUCUUGAUGAUUAAUUGUUGGAUUACAUUAUGUUACAAUAUGACGCAGAUUUGUUGCCAUUCGGGGUUAGUCCCAGAUUUAGGUGUUUCUCUUGAUGAUUAAUUGUUGGAUUACAUUAGGUUAGAAUAUGACGCAGAUUUGUUGCCAUUCGGGUUAGUACCUGCUUUAGUUCUUUUUCUUAAGGAUUAGUUGCAUGAAUCACAUGCCUGGUUAAUUUAACGGAUUGUACCUUUCAUGGUUGCUGUUCAGUGGGUUUAGGAGCCAUUCUUAGGUGCUUGAUUGGAGCUUGUUAGGUGAAGGUGAUGAGAUGGAUUGUGCAUGGGCUCUGUUCUUGGAAAUUGUCUGCCUGAAUGGAUUGGUUAACCCAAGCUCUUCCUUGUCCGUUUAUCUUCGGGGUUGGACAUCUGACAAGUUGGUUGGGAAAAUAUAAGACAAUCUGUGUUGCUGUAGGUGUGGUUCUGACGUUCUUGGAAUCAAUGUACUAUUUUCAGGGGCUGGAUUUGUCUGUAAUCGGUUGGGCCUUGCAAAAGAGAGGUGGGGAACAGGUUAUUCGUGGGCUUCCGUUGUUGGAUUCUUAGAUGGUGUCAUUGUUGAUUUGUUUUCAUUGGUCCUUUCUUAAUUGUUUGCCUUGGCGGUCAGUGAAGUUGCAUGGUUGGUUAAGAACAUGGGUGGUCUAUGCCUGUUGUGGGUGCAGUUGUUUGUAUUAGAGUAUUGUCCUCAAGUGCUAGAUUAAUUUGGUCCUUUCUUAGCAAUGUAAUCACAGGAAUGGAUAGGUCACAUGGUUGAUUAGAAAAAGAGCACUGGGUUAGUCUCUGAUUUGGUUCUUUGUCUUUAGGAUUCACUGCACGCUGAAUUUAAGGCUAAAAUGUGUCCCAAAUUUGUUGGUUCGAGUGUUUGGCUUGAGGGUUGAUUGUUGGCCUGGGCUGGUCUCUGAUUUAGUUCUUUAGCUUAAGGAUUAAUUGCAUGGCUGGUUAGUAUAAUGAAGAUUAAUUGUUGGUCUGGGUUAGUCUCUGAUUUCGUUCUUUGCCUCAAGGAUUAAUUAUAUUGUCCUGUUAUUCUUGAAGGUUAACAGUGGUGAUGGACAAUGUUGGUCGUGAGCUAUUUUUAGGCUAGAAAUUAUUUCUUUCUUAUGAAGGUUAAUUAUAUUCACAACAUCAUAUCUCAGAAACGAGCGGUUACGAAUUUGUUUAGUGUCAGGAGUGCAAUGGAUUAUGAUCAAUUAAGACAAAUCUAUGGACAAUCGUUACAAAUGUGACUAUUUCAUUGCCUGCAAAUUUAGUACUUACUCUUAUUUCUAGGAUUGUUGGUCGGUUCUAUUGCUAUUUAUUGUGCAAGGACCCUCUUUUGCUGGCCUCGGUCUUCUGCACUGUGUACCCUCUUUUGUUGGCAUCAGCCUUUUAGAUGAUUUGCCAGUGUGUGUGUGAUCUUGGUAUAAUGAUGUGAUGAACUAAUUGAUCCUACUUAGGAGGUAGGAUCACUAUUUACCUUUAUUAUCGCGAUUACAUGUGGUGUGUCUUUCUUUGAUGUGUGUGUUGGCAUGCUGCCUUUGAUUAUAUUUGGGUCUGUACAAUAUGUUAUGUGCUUAUCAUGAUUGCUAGACCAUGGCCUGCUCUGAUUAGUCUUUGCAUUUUCUAUUUGUUGUAGAUAACAUUCAAUGCACUGUCUGAACUGCGUCCGUGUAACUCGCUCUAGCAUAUCCUGUGUGUGCAUAUCACGUCUGUGGCAUCACCAUGGUGGAACCGAAAAUGGACCUAUCAAGGAGAUGGAUGUGGUUAUACUAGAUGCAGGUACAUGUAUUCUUUGAUCUGGUUUCCUGUCUUUCUUGUCCUGUUAUUUAAUGGUCUGUUAUUUCUCCUGUGUUGAACCAUACUCUUUUCCUCGCAGGGUAACCAUAUGUAUGCAGAGAUGCCUGAGAAAUUUGUUAACCAAUUUAUAUGCGUCCUCCAAGAGUGUGGGUUGAUGAUCUGUCGCAAGUUUCUGGUCUUUCUCAAGAAGUAUGUCUUUGGGCCGGUGGAGAGUCAAUACAUGAUUAAGUUCACUAGGUAUACAACUGUUGCGUGAUGGGAGGGUCUAGAAGCAGAAUUUCCUUUCUGCACCUAUGUCCUGACUCCAAUUAAUCAGCUCCCAAGGCCUACAAACACGCCUGAGCGUUUCACAGGUACUUUUUAUGAUGCCUAUCGUGUUGCUCCUUUUGUAUUGGGCAUGCCUUUGGUGUAUUGACUUGUAUUUUUUUGUAUGGACAGAUGUGGUUGGGAUUAUCCCAGGUUUCUUUGUUCUUUCAUGUUGGAAUCAGUGACAAUACCUUGCCGGGUAAAUUACCUUCUUUCCUAUUAGAAAGUAGUGUAUACUCUCUAGCUACUUAAUGUGUUCUUUCUUGGCUGUAGCUUAUUUGCUAUUUUUAACUUCAAAAUGAUAUGUCAAACAUGCUCUAAUUUUUUUUAUGCCAUCGAAGAUCUCAGCUCAUAUUACUUCCUCUCUGUUUAUGGUUGGGUAGUGGUGAUUUUCUGAUCUGUGGGUUCAUACUUACUUCAACUUUGAAGUGGCAUUCUAAUAUUUAAAAGCCACCUUUAUGCUAGCAGACAGCCUGAUUUUGCAUUACAAUUUCUAAGGAUGAAACAGUCUGCAUACCAUAGGGCACACAUCAUUUAACUUCAUUUUAAUCGGACCGCACAAUUUAAAACCUUGUGUUGUAAUACAAUUCACAUUUGGCUCGCUAUUCCUUACUUUUUGAUGAGUUUUAAUGUUAAUCUGAUGGAAACUGCAGGGACAGCUAUUAACUUAAUUUUUUUCCUAUACAGCACUCCUCGUAUUCUCUCCACUAUGUUUGGCUAAGGUUGCAAAGUAAGAAGCAUGUAUGUUCUUGGUAUUCAGUUCUAAAAGUCCAAAUAAAAAUCAUCUAGAUUUGGUAACCGUGAAUGUUUGUGAGGGAGGUACAUAAAAGAGUUAAUUUCACAAAGCAUAGUGUAGAAAAUAUAUUGACCCUUUUAAGUUAAUGGCUCUGGGUACAUAUGUAUUGUAUAACAGUUGACCCUUUUAAUUUUCCCUUGUCUUUCAUGUUCCAGAUAGCAUGUACCCAUUAUAUAAUAUAUUGUGACAGAUAGAUAAGAAAAGGCACACCAUAAUCUCAUAAACCUAUUGUUAAAAUAGAUCUGGUUGUAUUUCAGCUUCUAUAACGUUGCUUAAAAUUCCUAAAAAGUUAAUAGUUCUUUGCAGCCAAGAACAUAUCCUAUUCAUGUACUCAAUAGCAGCAGAGACGGGCACGUUAUGUGUUGUUCCUCUGGUGGGUUUCUGACGAUUUGGCUCUUGGAUGCAGGGUGGGUACGAGGAGAUGAGUCUCGUGGCGGUGAGCGGAACGGAGACAAGGAUGGCGACUUAAUGCUUCUCGGAGACCUCAUCUGGAGGUGAAUUUUCUGGGCCUUUUGUUUGCUAUUUCACAGAGUUGGAUCUGCAUGCUCGUGUUGUUCUUCAGCUUAUGUCAUGUAGUUUAGAUUCAUAUAUACAUUACUUAAUUAGGUUCAGGAGAUGGUUCGCUGUUGGACUGUGUGCUAUGGGAUGUUUUGGUGGUCUGAUGCUUUUAGCCACCGCUCUCGUUCCAGAGGUGCUCCUUUAUCUUAACCAUGACUCUGAUUUUUAGUUAGACACCAUAUUUGCAGAUUCAAGUUCCAAAAUCAGGGUACUAUUUUUUAUUUUUUGUAAGCAUUAGUGAGCUGAAAUAUGUAGAGUUUGGAUUGGGGAUAUAAGCAUUGUUAAACUAGGUUACAUACUAGAUUUUUCUGAAUUUCUCCUCCUUUUCUGGUUCAUUGCCAGUACAUAGCUUCUGGUUUCCUGUAAGCCAGCUAUAAAAUUAAUAUAGGCUGCUAUCGUUGCAUGCAUGUUUAUUAUAAACUUCAGCUAAAUUUGGUUGUGUACUGUCCAGGUGGUGGCCAAAGGCAAAUGGUACAGAACCUCCAUGAGAUUUUGAAUUCUGCUUGAUGCAUACAAGAAAGGAUAUUGUGAACAUUUGGUUCAUUUUGGUUGUGGAUUGACCUAUGCUGUGCAAGGAAACAUGUUGUCACGCCUUCAAGUGAGAUUCUAUCCGAUAAAAAUGUGCACUCUUGACAUGCUUAAUCUUUGUUUUCGGCUUCAAUUGUGAGGCUGCACUGCAAUCCAAAUCUCUUUUUGGGUAUUGUGUCUUUGUAGCAUAGGAUACCUUCAUAAGAUAUGGUUGGCCAUAUGUACUUAUGGUUGCCCUGGUGGUUUGCUUCCUGUUUAGUGCUUUGGGAGAUAUAUAUGCAUUUUGGUUCAUAUCCAUGUCUGUAGGGUGUGCCCGAUUUUCAGUGCACUGUAAUACCUGUUCAGGUUCGUGAUUUGGGAGAAAUAUGUGCGGCGGGUAGUAGUUGCUUCUUCCUAACAGAGGAAGUCUGACUACACAGAUAAUUAAUCUAUGUGCUCCAGAAUUAGACCGCCUCCUCAUUGUUUGUAGAUGCACCAAACAAUGAUUGAUGCUUGCUAAUUAUAGGAAUGGUAACUUCUUGCAUAAUUAAUCUAUGGGUUGCAUAGUCCAUUAGGUCACCUGCUUAUUGUUUAUAUACGAAAAAUAACAGUUCCUCCUUGCUGAUAAAGGAAAGUUGGGUAGGAAGAAAUCUAGGUAGACAACCUUCUGAUUGUUUAUAUAUGCAUCAAGCAAUAGUUGGUACUCAUUGAUUACAUUAAUGGUAACUACAAAAACCUUUCCAUGCUCAGCAUUAUCGGCGACCUUUCUGAUUUGGAGUUGUACUUCGUUAUUGUGAAUAAUGAAUAUGGUCAACAAUCUGAAGAAGAGUCACCUUCUGCCGAGAGAGUGAUGCGUGUUACUGCCGGGAGAGCUGCUUCUUGCAGGGAGAGUGAUGUGUGUUACUAAUCUCCUAUUUAGCGUUGCUCUAGGAUCAAUAGUACCAUAUGAAAGAUCAAACAUUUCAUUCUUCCUUUUGUUCUAAUGCAAAUGCUUGCUUAUGUGAUUGCAGAUCAACCUGCGAUGUGUUAAGCGGAUCACUGUGUAACUGAAUGAUCAAUCAGAGAAGAGUAUUUUUUCCACCAAAAGUGAGGUGAAAUGUUUCUGUUCAUCUUGGUUGUACUUCAGAUAAGAUUUAGCUACAGAUAAUCAGUAGUCACCUAAUGUAUUUGUUUGCCAAGUGUGUAGUGAGCGCUAAGGUGUCACUGGUUAUUUUACAUCCUUUAUUCUUAUUCCAUUUAACCUCCAAAUGAAAUACUCUAGGAGAUUUGUUGGUGCUCCAUUAACCAAAUAUCGCUGACAAAAUGUGGUUGUCAUUUCAGUUGAGAGAAAAAUUGCAUACUUUGUGAACCAACGGGAGAUUCAUCGUUUAAUAUUAUUCUUUAAUCACUAAAUCAUAUAGGAGACUCCUUUGGUGCCCCAUUAACCAAAUAUUAGUAUUACUAAUAAAACUGACAAAAUGUUAUUCUGGGUGUGACUGAGCCCUGCUGAGGCAAGGUCACCCCUUUUACCCGCUUACAUCCUCAAACGGUGAGUCCCUGACACCCCUCUCUCUAUUGAUUGAUCCAUAUAUCGCUAGGAAAGAAUGGCUCCCUAUCAGUUCAACUACUAUUGGACUAUGAAUUAUUGUUUUUUUAGGGAAAUUAAUUACUCCUUGGAGAAUCAUAGAUCCAUGUUCUAUUUUUGUCAUGUAAGUUAGGUUAUAACUAUGUAGUUACAACCACAUAUUUAGUGUUGCAAUAAAAAACAAUUAAUAAUAGAAACAAGUCAAUUAUGCGACUCGGUUGCGUCUUUCUGCAUAUCAAUCUUGGUUUAGGUCAUUUAUUAUUUGAUCCCGUGAUUGUGUUGAUGGCUUAGUUUCUAUUUCUUCAGAAAGGCACAAAUAUGAUCAACCCUAUCCAAUUAAAGUUUAAUCACCUCACAUAUACAUGCUUUUUUUAAAUAUAGAGUUGUAUUCAAUUUGGCUAGGAUGUAAUCCCAGUGCUCCUAAAGUUAUUCCCCAAGCAAUCAAAUAUUUGAAGUGUUCUUUUGGAAGAAAUGUCUUCCUGCACAAUACUAUGUAUGGCUAGCUGCUAGCUGUUGAUUUAUAUUGAUUUCUGUCAAAUCGGCUGCAGUUAUAUAAACCUUAAUGAGACAUCUUUGAAGAGAGUUUAGCCAUUCCAUAUUUCUCUUUCGGGCAUGUGUUGGCAUGAUAUUAGUACCAACGACUCAUGUGGUGGCUUACAUGAGAAGUGUUACAUGUCUUGGCAUGAUUUUAUAUAAGCCAGUAACACCGUUUUAUUUUCUGUCUGCCAUGAUUUAUCAGUUUGGUUGUUAUAAAUCUGUUUUUCAUCUAGCUCAUAUCACUGUUUAUUUGAAUUCCUUGCAUUUGUGGUUGGCUGACGGUAUAAGCAUUAUUUAUUAAGUGAAUUUGUAGACUGAUGUAAUUGCAGACUAAUAAUAGUAUUGACAUUGUUUGCUUACUAACUAAUGUCUCUGUAGUAGGCCAAUUUGUGUGUUUUUGGUUGUGGCAGACCAUUUUUAGUCAAAUUGAGAAACAACUGCCUUUUGGUCUCGGCCCAUAACCAACCGUGAAAGAUGAGAUGUUUAUGCUGCCCUUCUACCUUCCUCCCUGUCCCUACUUUUCCCCAUCGUGUGUUCGUCUCUCUGAAGUAAAGUAAACAUGAAACUAUAUGCUGAAAAGUGGGUUGAUAAAUAUCCAGUUACUAAAUUCACUAAAUUUGUGAUCCCAAUAGUGUGAUCAAAAUAGUGAAAUGUCAGGGUUUGCUCUACUGCAAAUUUGCAGUUUACUUGAACUUUGUUGUGAUGAGCAAUUCUGGUCUGACCAAACUAAUAAAUGCAUGUGCUUUUCAUGUUUUGUUCCUAGUAAGAAGUUGAUUCUGUAUUUUAUGUAUUUGUUGUGAGCUACUUUUAACUCUGAUAAAGAACGUACAUUGUAUUUUCUUGCUGGUGUCCUUACAUCUUUGAUCUGAUGCUUUAUUACCGGGUUGGGAGUGAUCGCACCCGCAGGGGUGCGACAAGCCACAAUUUCUAUCUGGUCUAUGUUAGGCCUGUCCAGACGACUUCAACUUCUGUACGCUACAUUUUCUUUUGGAUGUGUCAUGUCGUCAUUUCUAUUGGUCUACGUUAUGCCUAAGACCAACCAAGGAUUUAUCAGUUUGGUUGUUAUAAAUUGUCUGUAAGCUACUACAUGUUGUCGUGUCUUUUAUGCCUAAGAUAUUUAGUGCUAAACCUAUCGGCGAAACAUGCUUUCUAUGUUCAUGCAUUGUUUAGAGGCUUCUUAUUGUGUGUAUACAAACAUUUGGACCGGCACCCUCGCGCCAAGGCGUGAUCCCGAUCUAGUUUCAGAAUAUUGUUAGCCCAACAUACAUGAUAUUUGUACAUUAGCAACAUGUAUGUUAGUCCCAAAAUGAAUUUUUGAACUAUGGAUGGUACCACUAAAUUUUUUUGAACCACAUCUAAAUUUCUCAUUUGCUUCUCUGUUUACAUGACCCACAAUGCACUUGAUUUCCAAACUAAUAGAUUUGGAAACAAUAGUAGUUUUGGUUUGUUUUUAUUCAACAACAGUUGCAUAUUCUUGCUAUAAUCUGUGAUAUGGUCUGUGCUGGCUAUCAUGCUUCUUAAUUUCCAAUAUAUUGAUCCAACAGUUACAGCAUGGCCUGAUAGACAUUGAAAUCAAUUUGUUCGGGCUGAGAACCAUUCUAUAUAAUACUCACCAUUGUUUCGUUUCUUUUGGUCUAGGACAAAGGGUAUAGGAAUGUUUGUAUUCAGAUAGAAGGCUGAAUUAGAUGCAUUCUUCGAGAGAAAUUUACAUCUUUUUACUAAUUCCUCUCUUUGUUUUGUUUGUUUGGCUAUUUCAGAAUGACAACGAGAUACACCUCCUUGAUGAAAAUAUAUGGGCAGUCGUGUAGUCAUCACCGAGGAAGAUAUUGUAUGUAGCUUACUAUAUUUUUGGACUGCCAAAACAUGAGAAGGUGGGGUUUCAUUCUGUACCCCUGAUAUUAUGCACAAUCAUAUAUGUACUUCCUCCCGUAGCGACGGCCGGGGGUGAGGAGACGUCGAUUAGGGUUUAGGGUUUGAUGUUAGAUUCUCUUAGCUUUGAUGGUAUGUGGUUCAACAUAGAUAAUGUCCAUAGUGCCCUAUGGUUUUAUGACAUAUUUUUGGAUCCUGAUGCAGUUAUGGUAUCUUCUAUGAGACAAUUUGUUUCACCGUGUUGGUAGACCAUUUUUUAUGUUGUGUGCUCAAGCGGCUCUCUGUUUUCUUUUAGUGCUUCUUGCUUGCUAUUUUGUUGUUGUUAGGAAUGCAGUGUUAAUUUAGUUUCCUACAAUUUUGAUCUUUCAAGUAUAUUAAAAACUUUAUAAGUUCUGAUGUAUCAACAAGAAUCUGCGGAUGCUUCUUUUCUUCUUGGGUUCUUAAAAAAGCACAAAGGUGGUCCAUCUUGAACCGUAAUCUGUUCGACACUGUUUUUCUAAUUCCCUAGGAAAUUAUUAGUCAUUCUGGUGUUUGGAGAUACACUGUCAAGGUGACUAAUAAACUUUCUUACUUUUACAAUGUACAAUGCAUAUAUAAGUUAAUAUUAUGUACUUCUGUGUUAGGAAAGUGCGCCUUUGCUUUGGUCUUGCUGUUGUUAUGAGGUCCAUUUGUAAAGAGCACGGUCCCAUCCUUCCAUUAUCAUGGUCCCAUUAGGUAAAUGAAGUUACUAUAGUUGAGAGCAUGGAUAUGCCCCUUCCAAAGCUCUAUGCUAGCUUCUUUGUUUUAUAGUAUUUAACAAAAUUCUUCAUCAACAGUUUGAAUACUUGUUUGUUUUAUAGUAUUUCGCAGAAUUCUUCAUCAACAGUUAGAAUAACAAUGUCCUAAGCAAUUUGGAUGACUCAUAUUAUUGAAUCGAUCCAUGUUUAAGCUAAAUUGUUAUGGAUUGAACUUUGAGGAGCUCAAUCCAUAUAGCUAAAUUGAUGUUAUUUAGUUACGAAAUUAGAGAAAAGUGGGAUGCUCCUUUUCUGACUAGGUGCAUACUUUCACUUGAUUUCUAUAUUUUAAAUGCUCCCCGCCUGUUGCUAAGAACAUAUAGCCAUGUGAUUUUUCUUGCUAAUUUUCUGUCAUUUAAGAGUUCUAUUUUGCUCUGUUCCUAUAGUAACCAUUUGGGACUUGGAUACAAAGUUUUGUCCUGGGCGGUUGAAUUUAUAAGGACAUGAUAUCUUGCCAUUAUGCAACCUAUACCAUGCUUGUGUCAUGGCAGUAUUAACCCCUCCAUCUACUCUUUGUUGCUGAAGAAACCAGUAGUUGUAUUCAUUGCAUGUCAGCUGGUCUACGACUUCCAUAAGUUUGCAUCAUUUUUUUUGAGUACUUUGCUGUUAGUAACUUCAACAAGACUAUAAAAAAAUGUUGGAUCUACAGGGGGCAACACAUAACCAGCGAUAAUGAGGUGCCGUUGGCCAUGGGUGCAGUUGUCCACAGCUAGGGGUGGGAUUGUUAGUUUGUUACAACAUAUGGAUGAUAUGCACAUGGAAGGUGCUCUAAUAAUCCCCACUAUUAUUUAUUUGUAUCAUCUGCUAAUGGUUUUGUAUUUGAAAAUGAAUAUUAUCCUUGUUUCUUAUAUACGCAGGCUGAUAUAAACAAGCUAUAAUUGUUUGGGCUAUGAUUCGCAACAUAGAUUGGGGAUUUUAAAAUGUCAGACAAGAAAGUUAUCGGCCUAGUAGGUUCAGAUUCAGUUCUAUUUUUUAAAAUUUUCUUUUCUGUUACAAAAUCAUUUUUUGAUACUUUUCUCCCUUUUAUGUCAUAAAUCAGAUAAGUAUCUCAGUGUUUUAUAUGCAAUGUUACACAUUUGUUCAAGACAAAAAAAAAUUCAUAUAUUGAGUUUACUUACAAACCUUUGGUUGAGAUGAAAGUUUACAUCUGAUGUCAUUCCACUAGGACUCUGAAAUAGUCCCAAAAAAUGUUGUAUUACCUCUCUCUUGGUAACUAAUAUUUGUAUGGUGUGAUUUCUGGAAUUCACGAUCUAAGAUCUAAAUAGUCUGAUUCAUGUUGUCAAUAUCUUAUCGAGGUCUUGACUGACUAAUCUUGAGUAUGAUUUUAUUUGGUUUGGUGUUUAUAUUAUGUAAUGCUCAAGUCUUUCACCUGAAAAUAUUAUUAAUUGAUCGAAUUAAUCUAAGUUUAGUUCUUGAUGAUUAUUUUGUGGGACUAGAAAACAAAGUUUUUAUGUUUGUACUUUGUAGGAAUUAUUAUUAAUGAAGUAUUCUUUCUUCUUAUCUCUCAUUGGUUUUGCUUGUUAGAACAACAAUUGUCAUUACAAAGCAUCUCUAUGUCUCUCUCUAACCGUUACUAUUUCCACUGUCUUGGCUUGCAGGUCGUCGCUUGAGUCGGAUGAGGUCAUGGUUACUUUACCUGAUGAGUUACUGCCCAGGAAGAGCACAAUCCACCACCGCUAUAUAGCAGAUGGAGCUACCAAGGACGUCGUCAUAUUGACCACCGAUGACCUACAUCCUUUCGCUUCCCCUCAUGUUUUGCAGAAUAGAAGUGGCCUGAAAGCCACUUGAAUGAAAUCUUGUGUCUUGCGAUGUGUCAAUGCCAUGAAUUAGAUGUUUGUAGUAUAUUUUUUUAAUUGAAAUGUUUACCUGUGAUAUUGAGCACAGUACAUUAGUGCAUGGAUCAGCAUUGCAGUUUCAACUCUUUUGAUGUAUGGUGAUCUAUGUUUUGUGCAGACUAACAAGGCUUUGUAGUGAAUUUUUAUAGGUCACAUGCGACAAGUUGCCCUUCGUAUGUUAAUCUUGAUACUUUGUACUGAAUUUUUAUGCGAACCAUUUAUUUGUCCGGAUUGUCUUAUAUCGUAAAUCUUGAUGUCUUCUGCUAAAUCUUGAUGCUCUCUG
rnacentral:lncRNA from 1 species